rnacentral:rRNA from 1 species
AUGAACGCUGGCGGCGUGCCUCAUACAUGCAAGUCGAGCGAACAGACGAGGAGCUUGCUCCUCUGACGUUAGCGGCGGACGGGUGAGUAACACGUGGAUAACCUACCUAUAAGACUGGGAUAACUUCGGGAAACCGGAGCUAAUACCGGAUAAUAUAUUGAACCGCAUGGUUCAGUAGUGAAAGACGGUUUUGCUGUCACUUAUAGAUGGAUCCGCGCCGCAUUAGCUAGUUGGUAAGGUAACGGCUUACCAAGGCAACGAUGCGUAGCCGACCUGAGAGGGUGAUCGGCCACACUGGAACUGAGACACGGUCCAGACUCCUACGGGAGGCAGCAGUAGGGAAUCUUCCGCAAUGGGCGAAAGCCUGACGGAGCAACGCCGCGUGAGUGAUGAAGGUCUUCGGAUCGUAAAACUCUGUUAUUAGGGAAGAACAAAUGUGUAAGUAACUAUGCACGUCUUGACGGUACCUAAUCAGAAAGCCACGGCUAACUACGUG